rnacentral:lncRNA from 1 species
UUCAUUGAUGUAUGACCCUCAGAUAAUGUUGUCACGAGCCAUGCUUGAUGCUUCAAUUGGAUCACUUAACCAGCAUGGUCAUAAGGAUUGAAUUAAUGCACACAUUCAACAAUCACAUCUCAAAUUUGGAAGUUUAACUGUCAAAAAGAAGACAUGUAUUGAACUUACACUGCCAUAAAAAUGGUAUAUUAUUGGCAAAAAUUAGUACAACUUACAAAGCUUUGCUUCCCAUGCAUACAAACAAGAAGACAUGUAUACAGCAUAGCAUCUGAUAUACAAGAGUAGAAACCACUGAAAUAUAACUUAAAUUCAAAUCUUAUAAGCAUCAACUGUUUUCUUUAACAGAAAACAUGAAAUGGAUAAAACAAUUUCAAUGACUCUUGCACACCAACUUUAUAUCUUCACUCUUACAUUCUACUUAGUGCCCACCACCUACUCCACCACCAAAUCCAGCACCACUGCCACCACCAAAACCACCACUAAUUCCAAAGCCACCACCGCCACCAAAUCCCCCACCUCCUCCUCCUCCGAUUCCUCCUCCACCUCCAAACCCUCCACCUACACCACCUCCAACCCCACCACCACCACCAAACCCACCUCCUCCGCCUGCACCGCCACCUCCCCCUACACCACCACCUGCUCCUCCUCCAAUGCCUCCACCCACACCAUGACCAAGUCCACCGCCACCACCCGCUCCCCCUCCAACGCCACCACCACCUCCUAAACCACCACCCGCUCCCCCUCCAAUGCCACCACCACCUCCUGCUCCACCUCCAAUGCCACCACCGACACCAUGACCAAGCCCACCACCUGCUCCUCCUCCAAUGCCACCACCGACACCGUGACCAACUCCACCACCACCACCAAGCCCACCUCCACCUCCUAAGCCACCACCACCACCUGCUCCUCCUCCAACGCCACCACCAAUACCGUNCCUCCUAAGCCACCACCACCACCUGCUCCUCCUCCAACGCCACCACCAAUACCGUGACCAACUCCACCACCACCACCAAGUCCACCUCCACCUCCCAAGCCGCCACCACCACCUGCUCCUCCUCCAACGCCACCACCAAUACCGUGACCAACUCCACCACCACCACCAAGCCCACCUCCACCUCCUAAACCACCACCACCACCUGCUCCUCCUCCAACGCCACCACCAAUACCGUGACCAAUUCCACCACCACCACCAAGCCCACCUCCACCUCCUAAGCCACCACCACCACCUGCUCCUCCUCCAAUGCCUCCACCCACACCAUGACCAAGUCCGCCACCACCACCGACACCGACUCCGUGACCAAGCCCACCUCCACCUCCUAGACCACCACCACCACCAAGCCCACCUCCACCCCCAAGGCCUCCACCAGCACCUCCACCAAACCCAGCACCCCCGCCAAGUCCGCCACCUGCACCUCCUCCAAGACCUCCACCACCACCAAGACCACCUCCUCCCCCAGCGCCACCUCCAAAGCCACCACCUACGCCACCUCCUCCUCCUAAACCACCACCAAAACCAAGUCCACCGCGCUUAAACCCUCUCUUGAUAAUCCCAGGCCCCAACAGAUGAGGGGGAUGAAUCAAAUGCUUGUCAUCCUUAACCUGUGCCACCUCCCCCACUACCAACGAACCACAACCAAGUACAAUGCAGAAGGCAAACACGACAACAAUGCCAUCAGAAACAACUUUCAUCGUAAGAUAAAGAGGAAGAAGAAGAGAAAGAGAAUGUGAAAAAGUGAGUAAUGCGAUUUGGUGCAAUGAAGGAGUGAGAGUAUAUAUAGUAAAAGAGUAUGUAAGAGAAGAAGGUUCAUUUCACUCUAGUUACUCAACUGCCACUUCUUAAGAAGUAAAUGAGGCUUACCUGUCUUCAACUGAGAGAUUUAAUUGCUCAACUGUCCUCCUCUCCUACGCGCUCUGAAAUCAAGUCACUGUUUCAAUAUAACAUAGCAUAUCAGGGUUUUUGACCACUUGCUUUCAGCUUUUUAUUUUCCCUAUUAUUCCAUUACCACUGUUCUCUCUCUGUCCCCGUGCUAAUGCUUCUGCACAUUUAUUUUCUUUUUCUUUUUCUUUUCUUUCACACCUGCACGGCAGUCUUAAACUGGUUCUGCAUUAUUGGGAUUUAUCCUAUUCAUUCAGCUUCCUGUGGCCUCCAUUAAUGGUUCCUUCGGAUACAAUUAAUGCAGCAACCAAACAUUGUCCUCUCUACAGUACAAUCUUCUUCACGCAACUCUAUCUCUCUCUAGCCAUCCAACAACACGUCAAUUUGCAUGCAUUAUGAUAGUCACCAAUCCAAGUUUCAGUCAUCAGAUCGGUACAUGGACCCGGCUUUUGUUGGGAAGAAAUUUUUACUAAAAUGGUACAUACAGUAUCAGGAGUUAAAUUUACUCUUCAGGUACCUAUAUUUACAACUAUUAAACACAAUUUUCCUAUUUCAUUAUGCAGAGUUUUUCUUGGUUAAUUAUACAAUAUCAAUGGUGACGAAUGAGAUAAAGUCUGCGUGUGUUUGACGAAGAAGAUAGAUACAAUUUUCACUGAGAAAUGGAGUUGAUAUAUGUGAGAGAGCUCAUUUCGUAGCUAAUUAGGAACGCGGGAAAUUGAAUGGGAGAAAGAUAGUAAAAUCAUCAACUUCCCUUUUUUGCAUGCAUGUGGUCCUUCCAAUAUUAGAAGAGAAAAAUGUGUUCUCGUACCAGUUUUCUUCUCUCUCUUUUUUCAGAAGCUAUUUUUCUAAAACAAUUUCAUUCAUUCUCAUUCAAAAUUUAUCGUAUUUGAAAAUUAUUUUUAAAAGUAAAUGCCUAUUUAAAGUAUGAAUUUCCUUUUCUAUUUUACCAAUAAAGUCUAACAUAGUUGUGAAUAAUUAAGUUUCUAAAACAUCUCAAGAAACUU